UACGUAGGGCGCAAGCGUUGUCCGGAAUUAUUGGGCGUAAAGAGCUCGUAGGCGGCCUGUUGCGUCCGCUGUGAAAUCCCGGGGCUCAACCCCGGGCCUGCAGUGGAUACGGGCUGGCUAGAGGCAGGCAGGGGAGAACGGAAUUCCUGGUGUAGCGGUGAAAUGCGUAGAUAUCAGGAGGAACACCGGUGGCGAAGGCGCUCAUCUGGCCCAAUACUGACGCUGAUGCGCGAAGGCCAGGGGAGCAAACGGG
rnacentral:rRNA from 1 species